rnacentral:rRNA from 1 species
GUCUACGGCCAUGCCACCCUGAAGAAGCCCGAUGUCUGAUCUCGGAAGCUAAGCAGGGUUGCGCCUGGUUAGUACUUGCAUGGGAGACCACCUAGGAAGACCAGAUGCUGCAGGCA